rnacentral:lncRNA from 1 species
GCUGUUUCAUUAGCAUGCCUUCUAACCCAGACAAAGUAACUCCUGGUAUUUGUGAUAGUAACACCUUGCAAUCUUCAAUCAUUAGACCAUAUUCAUUGACACUUUCUUCAACUCUAGAAACUGCUUGUACAACUUGGAGAGAAUCCAAUUCCACCAUACAUGGUUGCUCUAAAUGUUUAUUAUUUAACCAGCUCAACAAACAUCUCAAAGCCAAAGUUUCGGCAACCUCUGGGCUACAACAUGGCAAUAAAUCUGAAUCAGCUUCUACAAACCCAACAUCCGAAC